GUGCAUAAAGUGGCGCACGGGUGAGUAACACGUAAGUAAUCUACCUUCGAGUGGGGAAUAACGUUCGGAAACGAACGCUAAUACCGCAUAAUGCAGCGGCAUCGCAAGAUGACAGUUGUUAAAGAUUUAUCGCUUGAAGAGGAGCUUGCGGCAGAUUAGCUAGUUGGUAAGGUAAUGGCUUACCAAGGCAACGAUCUGUAUCCGGUCUAAGAGGACGGUCGGACACACUGACACUGAAUAACGGGUCAGACUCCUACGGGAGGCAGCAGUCGGGAAUUUUGGGCAAUGGGCGAAAGCCUGACCCAGCAACGCCGCGUGAAGGAUGAAGUUUUUCGGAAUGUAAACUUCGUAAGAAUAGGAAGAAUAAAUGACGGUACUAUUUGUAAGGUCCGGCUAACUACGUGCCAGCAGCCGCGGUAAUACGUAGGGACCAAGCGUUGUUCGGAUUUACUGGGCGUAAAGGGCGCGUAGGCGGCAAUUCAGGUCAGCUGUGAAAUCUCCGGGCUUAACUCGGAACGGUCAGCUGAUACUGCUUUGCUAGAGUGCAGAAGGGGCAAUCGGAAUUCUUGGUGUAGCGGUGAAAUGCGUAGAUAUCAAGAGGAACACCUGGGUGAAGACGGGUUGCUGGGCUGACACCGACGCUGAGGCGCGAAAGCUAGGGUAGC
rnacentral:rRNA from 1 species